CUCUACUCAGGACACUGCUAAUGUGUAUAUGAGGAGGGGGACAAGCUGAACCUGAUAUGUUUCGUACUCAACACAGCACAUCAAUCAUAUACUGCUAUGUAACAGGCCCUCCUGGAUGCCAUCAGCCUGGCACUGCUUUACUACACUGUUAAGAGUCCCUGUCUGUGACAUGGAGGCAUGUCAGUACGUGGUACUGAUAUGGAGGUGUCCAUGAGAGUCUGAUGAAACACCUGGCUGCCCCCAGUGAUGAGAGUGGAAUGAAGUCAACCUCUGCUUUAUUCUCACAUUCUAUGAGUCUGGACAUCAUGAACGAGGAUGUUGGGAGGUCUGUAUCUAGCCUCCUGUAGCAGACUCAUCUCCCUCCUGACUUCUUCAUCUAAAGGUGUGUCUGUGGAUUCGAAUGCAGUCUUCCGUGCUGGUGAUGCCAGGUGUGCCAGAGAUUUGCUUGCCAAGGGACCAGGACGCUCUGCUCUUACAUGUUGCAAAAUACUACUAUACAACAGCAUCCAGGUGCAAUUGCUUCAAGGUUCAUGUCUCCUGCUGAAUCCCAGGCUUUUGCAUACAAGCAAAGAAUUCAUAUUUCUCUCAACAAUUAACUAAAGAGGAGUAGAGGAAGAACCAGGUCUCCUAGUAAUCCCCACUUCUCAACAUAGAC
rnacentral:lncRNA from 1 species